CAGCUCGUGUCGUGAGAUGUUGGGUUAAGUCCCGCAACGAGCGCAACCCUCAUCCUUAGUUACCAUCAGGUAAUGCUGGGGACUUUAAGGAAACUGCCAGUGAUAAACUGGAGGAAGGUGGGGAUGAUGUCAAGUCAUCAUGGCCCUUAUGGAGUGGGCUACACACGUGCUACAAUGGUGGCUACAAUGGGCUGCAAAGUCGCGAGGCUAAGCUAAUCCCUUAAAAGCCAUCUCAGUUCGGAUUGUACUCUGCAACUCGAGUGCAUGAAGUUGGAAUCGCUAGUAAUCGUGGAUCAGCACGCCACGGUGAAUACGUUCUCGGGUCUUGUACACACUGCCCGUCACGCCAUGGGAAUUGGUUUCACUCGAAGCUAACGACCUAACCGCAAGGAGGGAGUUAUUUAAAGUGGGAUCGGUGACUGGGGUGAAGUCGUAACAAGGUAGCAGUAGGGGAAUCUGCAGCUGGAUUACCUCCUUAGGCUU
rnacentral:rRNA from 2 species